GAGUUGUAUAAGGAAUGUAAUAUUAGUGAUAUGCAAAUAAUAUAUAGUUUACAUAUUGAAUAAGGAAUCCAUAAUAUCUUCUUAUAUGAUUCUCGUAAUCUUUGGUAAAUCUUAUAGAUCAACUAGGAAUCUUUAAUGGGCAAGGCACUAGUUGAUCACUAUAAAUACACAAGCAUAAGUCCCUGAUCUCAUCAUAAGACGCAUUCAGUCCCUAUCCCAUCUAAGGAGCACAUUGUGAGAGAGAUCAGAAGACCUAAGCUUUCAGACAUGGCGAUCUCCAUUAACAACGCUGGUAAGUCUUAAGUUCUAUGUGUGUUGUUUGUGUUUAUAUGCUUGCGCUAACUAUGGUAUAAUUAGUUUUAGUUUUCUAUUAAAUGGCAUCAGAGCUUGGCGCUCUUAGCCUCGCAUAUAAAUCGUUUCAGUAAAAUCAACACAAUAGCAAUUACAUGUUCAUAUGCUAUGCUUCAGAAACAACAACAAAAAAAAAAAAAUUUCAGUAAACCGGGCCAACAAAAUUCGUUGACCCAUUCAGAAACUAAAGCUGGGCCUGUGAGCCGCGUGACCCAAGCCCAAGGCCCGAUUCACAGAAAACCCCAAAACAAAGGGAUUCUAUUCUGGUCGUUGUUUUAGAACGACAAGUUUUCUGGGUUCUGGUUUUUGGCGAGGGAAGAAGCGCGCGAGUUCGUUCAUGAACUCAUUGGGAUUCAAGACCCAUCACUCACGAUUCAGGUAAGAUUAAGAACAAAUUAGAGAACCCUAGAGCACGCCCGGAGUGCACAUACGUUAGGAUAGCUGGAGUUGUCCGGAUGGAAUUUGUGUUUUCUAGAUUCUCUGUGUUCUUGAUUGGUGUUUUGAUUGUUGUUAUGGUUGAUUGGUGCUGCAAUUCUGUGUUAUUGUUUGCUUCCGCUAACAUUGCAGCGCUGUAGCAGAUGCCAAGGUAUGUCAAUUGGGUGAAAAUUGAUUUUUUUCAAUGACUUUUAGAAGCCUAAAGCUAUCUGCAUUAAAUCUGUAAAUUUUUCUCUGUUGUGAUUGUUAAAGUCU
rnacentral:lncRNA from 1 species